UAACCUAACUUAACCUUGUCAGAAUGGCAUGAGAAGGCAUGUGUAAUAAAUACUGUAAUUAGAGCCGAUGAUAAGUGAGAAUUUCCGAAUGUGUGUGCGACACGAGUUGCCAAUAUUUCCAACAGAUAAUAAGAGCUAUGAGAUCGUUAUUUUUAUGAAACUGAUAGGCUUGUAGACGGAGUCCUUUUUUCUUUCUUUAGCUUUCAAGUAGAACGGAAAAUCACGAUAACGUCAAAAUGACGAGAUGACCGGAUCAUAAUCAAAAAGUGGAAUUUGUUUAGAAGGUUAUUUUCUUAGGAUCCACGUAAGAACUCAGAUCAAUCGGCGAGCGUAACUUGAUCGAUCAUCUUCGUGACGAACCAUUUGCUAAUAAUUACGGCGAAAGUUUUGCAUUACUUGAUGAUGCUAUCGAGUCGAAUAGUUAAUUAGUCUCCGUGUGUGGUUACAGCAUCGCCCAUCAAUACAAUGUAAUUGCUGUGUGGCUACGGACGCGCGAUUAGUCGGCUGUUUCUUGUGCUACGGGAAAAGGGUCCCCGACAUGGUCGCAUUUUUAUGAAGAGGUGUCUCGCAAUCGCGCUAAUUGCACGACUAAUGGACACAAGGUCGCAUCAUACGAAGGAACAAGCAAUGUUAAGCGGAAAUAAAACGGAGAGAUUGAUCGGCCUUGUACAGGAUAUACCUCCAAGGGACGUUUCGUGGAUGUCUCGAGAACAUCCUCAAAACGUCCUUUGGAAGGUCUGGCUGUCUAAGACAUAUUUGUAUCAAUUAACAAAUUGCAUCCGGCAGAUAACGAUCCUCUGAUCGGACGCGAUCCUAACGUACGCUGUGCGCGAGAAUUGCAUCACACUGAGAAAACGAACACCGUGCCGCAUCGUUCUUCAUCGACUUUUACGUGUGGCUCGCUGCGGAGAAACUAGAAGCGAGCCGCCGUCCGAAAGUCGGCGAAAGGAUUCACCCUCCGCGCGCGGAAUUUCGAUUCCGUCGACAGCUCGAUCGAUCGGCUUGCCUAGCGAUUCGCUCGCCGAUCACAUCAGCGCUUCCUCUUAUAUUCCGCGCGACGCUCAAGGCAAGCUAGACAGCCAGCCGGGUGCGAAUCUGCGACUCGAAAUCGGAUCGGCCUUCACCGACGUCGGCAUCUUCAAGCGGUCGAUCGUGCGCCAACUGCUCUGUUUAUCGUGGUGGCGAUGGCCGCACCCCUCAGAAUCAACCGCUUACGUGUGCUUUAUAUUUCCCAAAGGUCAGCAACGACGACGAUGAUGACGAAGAACGACGACAAUAAAGAAAAGGAACCGUAUAAUAGUAUAGUCCGAGAUACGCGUGAUUCGAGAGCACGUUGCCACGUCGCGACGCGCCUUCGUUAUAUUAUGCAACCGUCUUCAGCUCUAACAGUCUGAACUAUAUUUUCUUUUGCUUGGCUCACCUCUCGGGAAGACUUAGGCUACUGAGCCGGGGCACCCAUUCACUCUCAGCUUGUCAGCCAGCGAGAGCAUCGUUGGUGUAACCGUGAAGAUCGCGAUAAAGCAUCCCGACGGCAGACGAGUUGUCUUCACCCCGAUAGACAGGACAACGGAACUAUCGUUCAACGAUAUCGAAUUUUG